UAGAUUACAGGCAUCCGGCCAGUGGAAUACCAACCAGCUAGUGUUUUAAAAAUGAAGUCGUUAUGGUACAAAAGAUAUGUUGUUAAGCAGGCAAAAAAAAACACACAAAAAAACCAAAAACCAAUAUUCAGAAUGGUUUGUGUCAUAUGAUAGUAUCUGGUGGGGGGGGGGGGCAGGGGGUUAGCACAGUGCUUGGUGCAGACAGGUGCCUUAACAAAGAGGUGUUGAAAGAGAACAGCCCGCAUACGCUGGUUGUGACCUCGAGCAGGAGAGAGCUUGGUGGGGCUGGGGCCACCCUUGUACUGGACUCUGUGCUCCUGGUAAUGCAGCGUGGAAAAGGUGCUGAUCUCUCAAGCAACCCGGUUCCGCCCUUAGCUCCGGCUGAGCUUGUGGGCAGCUUGCCUGCCGAGGAAAUGGGUUGGGCCCUAAGGUUAGUGUCUCUUCCUACAGUCUUGGGUUCUCAGACUCCCAUUUCUCAUCAAAUGGAUGCCAGCUCACACCAGGCUCGGCCCGACCCUGCAGCCGCAAACGCUCAGAAGGACCCGGCGAAGCCACCUCCUGUCCUGGGUCCCGUCUCCAGCCUGGUCCACUUACUUCUCUUCCCUUGAUUCUCACCCCUUGGGUGGGGCCCAGGCAAUGGCACUCUUCAGAAGCUCCCAAAGAGAACUUUCACGCCCUUGAAGCCACUCUGGCUGACAACUACCCUGCAGAGCAGGCACUAUUAUCCUCUUUGAGAAGGGGCAGGGUGCCCUCCCACACCUCUGACCACAGGCUGCUGUGCCGGGAAAUUCAAGGUCGCUUCCCACAGGCUGCUCCCAGCCAGUGACUGGGAAACACAAGACUCUGCUGGGCAAAUCUGGCUGGAGGACUCCCCCACAGCCUUCUGUGCUCUCAGAACUGCCCCAAGGUCUAGAGGCUUCCUCCCAGCCUUCCUUCCUUCCCUCUCCCCGUCUCUCAGGGUCAGACUUGGGCUGUAGUGAGCUGACUCUCCCAGCCUCCUCCAGCCCCCUUCCCCGUUUCCCCUCGGAGGCAUUUUUCCCAACAAAUAGUUCCGCAUCUAAUCCCUUCUGGGAGGGCUGAACUACCGUAGGAUAAACAGAUAAACACGCUGAGAAUUUACAUGAUUACCCACCACUUUUUAGCCACUAAGCUCCCUCCAUAAAGCACUGACCAUAUCGCGCCAGCUUUCUAUGUAUCCUAACUCAUUUAACCGUUACAACAACCUAGAAGGAAGCUGUAAUUAUUAUCUACAUUUUACAGAAGGGGAAACAGAGUCACAGAGACAUUGGGCUGACCCAAGGUCACAUAGCAAAUGAGGAUUCAAAUCUCAGGGAUCCUAGAUCCAAACCUCAGUUGGUCUGGCCCCAGAACCCCAUGCUCUCUCAACUAUUCUGCUAUACCAGCCCAAAACCCAGGCUUCAAAUUCUGAGCAUAGUACCUUCCUACUACCCCACAGCCUUCCCUGGGGGAUAGGCCAGCCCCCCGCUCUGGCCACAGCCGCUCUCAGCAUCCUGAGUCUGGGGGAGCAGGUGGUAGCAACAGAAGAGAGUCCUUUGUGGGGAGCCCGGGCGACCAAAUCUUGACUUGGGCUCAGGCCAUGAUCUCGCAGUUCGUGAGUUCAAGCCCCGUAUCAGGCUCUGUGCUGACAGCGCAGAACCUGCUUGGGAUUCUGUCUCCCUCUCUCUCUGCCCCUCCCCUGCUCGCUCUCUUUCUCUCAAAAGGAAUUAAGUUUUAAAAAGUGAAAACAAAAAGAAGAAGAGAGUCCUUUGUACAGAACAGCGCCACUGGGGCUGGCUUCAGCAGCCCUGCCUGAGACUGGGCCACAUGGUUAGUAAUUUUAACAUGGCGGCUUCGAACCCCAAACCCAGCCCAGCAGGUACGAAGAAUGGACAAAAGCGAUGGUUUACUCUGUCUUCUUUUACUGUCACAUAAAUCCAGGAAGCAAGAAGACCCCAGGGAGAAAGAGAAGCCAGGCUGACCCGGGGGCCAGCAGGACAGGUGACUGAAUGGUGUCAGAUGGGAGAGAGACCCCCACUGAGCCAGGAAGGUCAGGAGCAGCAGAAAGGCAGACAUCAAAGACUGGAGUGCAAAGCCGGCACCCACCGAGCUGGGCAAGGACCUUCUGAGAGCUUUUCAGCAACUGGCUGUCACAGCUGUGGUGGCAGGUGACUCCACGUGCCUCCCCCUGCAACACGUGCUCAAUGAACACUAGGGAACCCGGUAACCCCAGCUUGUGACACUCUUAGACACAGGGAAGGAAAGGGUCCCAGAAACCGUCUUCAGCCCUGGGGGCCCAAAGGUCAAAGGGCAGGCAGCCCUCAGCAGAGCCAAUCUUGGGUUUGCUGGGGAGGUCACAGCAUUAGCGAAACCCUGCUCAAAGGAGACACUGCCCCUGAUUCAGUCAGCAGAUCACGAGCCCAGUAGGGGCCGAACCAGGGCCAGGACCAGACCGAACUGACUCAGCUCUGAAGAAGAAAAACAAUUUCCACAGAAUAGGAAAGCCCUGGGCUCACCUCAAAGCCAAGAAGUUCUGCCUGCACGCAAGGAGCCUCGCCACGGAGUGUGCACAGCCAUCGGUCAGUUUGUUGUUGAAGAGACUGGAACGUUCCAAAGGAGAGGAGACAUGGAGACCUAGCACAGCAGUCAGGGACCACCCCAAGCCCAGGGUAGCCCGUUCCCGCGACCCAGGAGUCACCUGCACCCUCCAAAUAUGCCAACACCCUCGCCGCAGCUCACGGCUGCUGCCCAAACGGCACGACCCAGAGCGUGGCCGGGGACACGAUGUCCACCACUCGAGCCCGACUUACGCUAACU